GAUGAAAAACGCUACGAAAGAGCCGAUCAGGACAAAACUGUCAUCUGUCAGCUGACAGCUGCCAUCUUUGAAGACUUUGGAGCGAUCGUGGAGGCCAAGAACUGGGACAGGCAUGGAGAUUCCUAAGAAAAACAGAGCAACUCGUUAAGCAGGCCCGCUAUGAGUGGGAGUAGCCCCAAAGCCAUCGUCAUAACAUUGGUGAUGGAGGCCUAGAAGAUCUUGGACACUGGGCCUGGAGGUUAGCUUUAGUUAUUCAAAGCGCCUGGAGCUUCUUUAAUGAAUCCAUUUAUGAGGAUAUAAGCUCUUACCCACAGAGAUGGUCCACACAGCUGUGAUCUUAACCCGGGCUCGGGCUCGGGAGUUGGUGCGGCUGUGCUGGAUGGGAUUGCGGAUGGCGACGUAACGGUCCAGAGAGAUGGCACACA